rnacentral:lncRNA from 1 species
GGACUUUCACCAAAAAUCUUUAAAUAUUUUUCUCUUCCAUAUUCUGAAUUAAAAGUAUUUUUUGGAAUAAUUUUGAUAUUUUUCAUGAAUUAAAUGUUUUUGUGCAUAUUUUUUAUUGUUUAAAAAUACUUCUGACUUUUUAAAAUUUGUGAAAUUUUUUGUCUAAGGUCCUUUAACCUUGUUUGACCUAGUGUAAUACCCCAAUUUUGGCCCUAAUAUCCC